rnacentral:rRNA from 1 species
GACGAACGCUGGCGGCGUGCCUAAUACAUGCAAGUAGAACGCACAGUUUAUACCGUAGCUUGCUACACCAUAGACUGUGAGUUGCGAACGGGUGAGUAACGCGUAGGUAACCUGCCUGGUAGCGGGGGAUAACUAUUGGAAACGAUAGCUAAUACCGCAUAAUAUUAAUUAUUGCAUGAUAAUUAAUUGAAAGGUGCAAUUGCACCACUACCAGAUGGACCUUCGUUGUAUUAGCUAGUAGGUGAGGUAACGGCUCACCUAGGCGACGAUACAUAGCCGACCUGAGAGGGUGGUCGGCCACACUGGGACUGAGACACGGCCCAGACGCCUACGGGAGGCAGCAGUAGGGAAUCUUCGGCAAUGGACGAAAGUCUGACCGAGCAACGCCGCGUGAGGGAAGAAGGUUUUCGGAUCGUAAAGCUCUGUUGUAAGAGAAGAACGGGUGUGAGAGUGGAAAGUUCACACUGUGACGGUAUCUUACCAGAAAGGGACGGCUAACUACGUG